ACUCUAGAGCAAGAUUUUUCGAUGGACCUCAUCCUAGCCUCACUACAGAUGAAGACUGGUUUGAAACAAUAAUAAAUAACUCAUUAGUAUGAUAGCUAUCCAAAUAAAAGAAUAAAAUUUUAUUAUAUAAAAAGUAUAAUAUACCACUCGGGCCCGUCUCACUAGGACCUGCCUCACUGGGACCUGCCGGUGCAGGACCCUCUGAUAAUGGAGCCAGUGUCGCAACGGAGAUCGGUGAAGGCGCCUCAACCUCCGGGCU
rnacentral:lncRNA from 1 species